UGGCGAAUGAAACGGGAAAAGCCCAAAUUUGAAAUCUCCUAGCGUYAAGCUAGGCGAGUUGUAAUUUGUAGAAGGUCUUCAUCUGAACUGUGUUUGCUAAAGUCCAUUGGAAAAUGGCGGGCCUUUAUGGUCCUCAAGUCGUAGAGGGUGACAACCCCGUUCUUGGCAUUCUACUAGUUCUUUUGUAUGAUUCCUUCAAAGAGUCGGAUUGUUUGGGAAUGCAAUCCAAAAUGGGUGGUAAAUUCCAUCCAAGGCUAAAUAUCAGCAAGAGACCGAUAGCGAACAAGUACCGUGAGGGAAAGAUGAAAAGAACUCUGAAGAGAGAGUUCAACAGUACGUGAAAUUGCUGAAAGGGAAACGCUUGAAACGAUUGUUGCUUUUGGUUUCGGCCUUGAGCGAGUCAGUAGCAGUUUUAAACGGUAAAGAAGUGCUUGGAGAAGGUAGUUUUCUUCGGAAAAUGUUAUAGCUCCARGUAACUGUGCCGGUUARGACUGAGGAUCGCUUUUAAGUGYCUUGUCGAGGAAUUUUGGGCCGUCAGCGCCAAGGCCUUGGGCUUGCUCAAGACUUGGUGUUGGCUGUUCAGGACGACCAAACACAAGGCCUUAGAAUAGGUUACUGACAAAAUGGUUUUAAUCGACCCGUCUUGAAACACGGACCAAGGAGUGCAACAAAUUUGCAAGUCGUAGGGUGACAAACCUGAAGGCGCAAUGAAAGUGAAAAAAUACCACCCAGUAAAAUGGGACAGUAUUGCCCGGUCUUGCGGCUACCGCCAAAGGAUCUGAGGUAGAGCAAAUUUGCUGCGACCCGAAAGAUGGUGAACUAUGCCUGCAUAGGGCGAAGCCAGAGGAAACUCUGGUGGAGGCUCGUAGCGAUUCUGAACGUGCAAAUCGAUCGUCAAAUGUGGGUAUAGGGGCGAAAGACUAUCAACCU
rnacentral:rRNA from 1 species